rnacentral:misc_RNA from 1 species
GCCUGGCGGUAACAUUGUUAGUUUUGAACAUCAGUGCAAAAUGUUUCAGCUUUUAUAUAAUUGCUUUCAGCAGCAUUAAAAUUGUGAAUCAUACAAAAUCGCAGUAGGACUAAAUUAGAUAAUUGAUUGAAAAAAGGAGGGCUCAAUUAGGAUCGAUAAAGUCUAAGAGGGAAGAGCUGGGUGUGGUGGCAAAGAUUGAGCAGGCACCAUUUGGAGCGGCAGAAAUGGGGGCAACAAGCACAAAGGGUGUAUGAAUAGAUGGAAGCGUGCUGCUAAGGUAUGUUGUUCGGUAACACUCGGG